rnacentral:rRNA from 1 species
UACGUAGGGGGCAAGCGUUGUCCGGAAUCAUUGGGCGUAAAGAGCGUGUAGGCGGCCCGAUAAGUCCGCUGUGAAAGUCCAGGGCUCAACCCUGGGAUGCGGGUGGAUACUGUCGGGCUCGAGUCCGGAAGAGGCGAGUGGAAUUCCUGGUGUAGCGGUGAAAUGCGCAGAUAUCAGGAGGAACACCAAUGGCGAAGGCAGAUCUCUGGGCCGUAACUGACGCUGAGGAGCGAAAGCAUGGGGAGCGAACAGG